rnacentral:tRNA from 1 species
GGGGGUAUAGCUCAGUGGUAGAGUGCAAGCUUAGCAUGCAGGAGAUCCUGGGUUCAAUCCUCAGUACCUCCA